CAUUGGCAAGAGUGGGGACAUGGAAGCUGUGUUCAGGCCGGUCCACGCUGGGUGACCCAUGUGACCUGCUGCUUAGCAAUUCCUUGUCACCAUCUUCCCUUCUCAGCCUCUUUUUUCAUGCUAACAGGCAUAAAUGAAAUGAUAAAAGUUUGAGCUCUUCUCGUGGAAUUCUCGUGAUACAGAUAUGUGCUACAUGUUCAUCAUCUCGUUGGUCUUCACCAUGAUAACUGUGGAGUAAGAAUUAUAAGCAGGUCACAGAUUAGGGACUUGAGAUUGACAGUUUGGCUUCCCUGUUCUGGGUGGCAAAGCCUGUGGAGUACUCACCUACCUGCUGCAUGAAGGCAGCAUGGAGGGACUGUGGUGGAUUAUCUGCAAAGAUGGCCAAAAUUCUCUCAUCCCUGCAGGCACAUACAAGAUGCCAGAAUCAGUCAAAACUAAGCUCACUGUCCUUGCUAAUAUUCUGCCCCAGAGAAGAACUGAAGCUCAGCUCUUCACCCUACAGAAAGCCUGAAUUUUGUAAAUGUUCUGCUUAGAAUGAGGAAGAAAGAUGAAGAAUGAGGAGGAAGAAGGAAGGAACGAGAGAGAGGUAAAGCCAACAAGCAGAACAGACCUACAUUUGCAGCAUCUCCAAGUUUCUGCAACAGCAUUAUGUUGUUGUUAUGUUUUGUUUUAAUAAAAGCACAUACCAUUUGGUUGUUGCAUGGCAUAAGUAAAGUGACAGUUAUAGGAUACAUGCAACUUUUCAGUGACAAAGAUCUGUGCAGCAUCGACAGUACUGCCUAAUGAGGUUUCACCAUAAUGAAGUAUCACAACCAGUUUACAGACCAGAAAACUGAGACACAGGAAGGGGUGGUGACUUGAGCAAGGUGCAUCAGCUGGUAAGUGCAGAGCUGCAACUUUGCCUGGUUCCCAAGCCCACAUGGUUGCUAAGAUAUAUGCCAAGUCUUUUCUCACUGCAUUUUUAAACCCCUGGGAAACAUAAGACACCAUCUCAGACCUGGGUUGGAGACAGGCGUGGAAGUUCAAGAUGUGUACUCGGCUCUUCCAAAAACAACCCGAGAGCUCAAUUCUCUUCUUUCCCUGUGCAGCUGCUUCCCAGCACAACUGUCCAUCUGUGUUCUAUUGUUACAUGUUUAUUUCUUCCUCAUGAGCUUUUACAGUUCCCGCCUUUUAUGGGAUGUUCUUACGCCAGGUUUCCAGAAGUUCCCCAGUCAUUGAGCAUUUCUGAGGCUCUUGAUGCAUAUGCCAAGUAGUUAUGGAGAAAGACACAGCAGCUUACCUCUGCAGGCAUCAUUGUGUGAAAGGAAGACCCAGGCUCUCUCACCACCCUUGAACAGAAGCC
rnacentral:lncRNA from 1 species